CUGUAAAUUCGAUCACUAACUGAUGCGAAGGAAACCAAGUUUGCUAAGUAAUUGCACUUCAGAUACUACUGAGGUUGCCUAUUCUAUCCUGGCACACGG
rnacentral:snoRNA from 1 species